rnacentral:rRNA from 1 species
CAUGCCGUAAACGAUGCUGACUAGGUGUUGCGGGUUUGAACCCCUGCAGUGCCGAAGCCAACGCGAUAAGUCAGCCACCUGGGGACUACGGCCGCAAGGUUAAAACUCAAAGGAAUUGACGGGGGCCCGCACAAGCAGCGGAGCGUGUGGUUUAAUUCGAGGCUACACGAAGAACCUUACCUGGGCUUGACAUGGCGGUGGUAGGGAACCGAAAGGGGACCGACCUUCGGGAGCCGUCACAGGUGC